rnacentral:rRNA from 1 species
AGAGUUUGAUCCUGGCUCAGGAUGAACGCUAGCGGCAGGCUUAACACAUGCAAGUCGAGGGGCAUCGGGAGGGAAGCUUGCUUUCCUUGCCGGCGACCGGCGCACGGGUGAGUAACACGUAUGCAACCUGCCCUCUUCAGGGGGACAACCUUCCGAAAGGGAGGCUAAUCCCGCGUAUAUCGGUUUCGGGCAUCCGAGAUCGAGGAAAGAUUCAUCGGAAGAGGAUGGGCAUGCGGCGCAUUAGCUAGACGGCGGGGUAACGGCCCACCGUGGCGACGAUGCGUAGGGGUUCUGAGAGGAAGGUCCCCCACACUGGUACUGAGACACGGACCAGACUCCUACGGGAGGCAGCAGUGAGGAAUAUUGGUCAAUGGGAGAGAUCCUGAACCAGCCAAGCCGCGUGAGGGAAGACGGCCCUAUGGGUUGUAAACCUCUUUUGUCGGAGAACAAAACCCGGGACGAGUCCCGGACUGCGUGUAUCCGAAGAAAAAGCAUCGGCUAACUCCGUGCCAGCAGCCGCGGUAAUACGGAGGAUGCGAGCGUUAUCCGGAUUUAUUGGGUUUAAAGGGUGCGUAGGCGGUUUGUUAAGUCAGCGGUAAAAUUGCGGGGCUCAACCCCGUCGAGCCGUUGAAACUGGCAGACUUGAGUUGGCGAGAAGUACGCGGAAUGCGCGGUGUAGCGGUGAAAUGCA